AAGAUUUUAAGUUAAAUAAACUAGAAGCCUUCAAAGCUUAAAAUAAAAAUUAUUUUAAAUCUUA
rnacentral:tRNA from 1 species